rnacentral:tRNA from 1 species
GGCCCCGUAGCUCAGUGGAUAGAGCGGCAGGCUUCGAACCUGCGAGCGGAGGUUCGACUCCUCCCGGGGCCA